rnacentral:rRNA from 1 species
AUACGUAGGGGGCGAGCGUUGUCCGGAAUGAUUGGGCGUAAAGGGCGCGUAGGCGGCGCGGUAAGUCUGGAGUGAAAGUCCUGCUUUCAAGGUGGGAAUUGCUUUGGAUACUGCCGCGCUUGAGUGCAGGAGAGGUUAUCGGAAUUCCCGGUGUAGCGGUGAAAUGCGUAGAGAUCGGGAGGAACACCAGUGGCGAAGGCGGGUAACUGGACUGCAACUGACGCUGAGGCGCGAAAGUGUGGGGAGCAAACAGGAUUAGAUACCCUGGUAGUCCACACUGUAAACGAUGAAUGCUAGGUGUAAGAGGUAUCGACCCCUUGUGUGCCGGAGUCAACACAAUAAGCAUUCCGCCUGGGGAGUACGGCCGCAAGGUUGAAACUCAAAGGAAUUGACGGGG